rnacentral:rRNA from 1 species
GUACCUACGGGGCGCAGCAGUGGGGAAUAUUGCACAAUGGGGGAAACCCCGAUGCAGCAACGCCGCGUGAGUGAAGAAGUCAUUCGUGAUGUAAAGCUCUAUCAGCAGGGAAGAAAAUGACGGUACCCGAGUAAGAAGCCCCGGCUAACUACGUGCCAGCAGCCGCGGUAAUACGUAGGGGGCAAGCGUUAUCCGGAUUUACUGGGUGUAAAGGGAGCGUAGACGGUCCUGCAAGUCUGGAGUGAAACGCAUGAGCUCAACUCAUGCAUGGCUUUGGAAACUGGAGGACUGGAGAGCAGGAGAGG